AGCGAACGCUGGCGGCAGGCCUAACACAUGCAAGUCGAACGAACUCUUCGGAGUUAGUGGCGGACGGGUGAGUAACACGUGGGAACGUGCCUUUUGGUUCGGAAUAACUCAGGGAAACUUGUGCUAAUACCGAAUGUGCCCUUCGGGGGAAAGAUUUAUCGCCAUUAGAGCGGCCCGCGUCUGAUUAGCUAGUUGGUGAGGUAAAAGCUCACCAAGGCGACGAUCAGUAGCUGGUCUGAGAGGAUGACCAGCCACACUGGGACUGAGACACGGCCCAGACUCCUACGGGAGGCAGCAGUGGGGAAUCUUGCGCAAUGGGCGAAAGCCUGACGCAGCCAUGCCGCGUGAAUGAUGAAGGUCUUAGGAUUGUAAAAUUCUUUCACCGGGGACGAUAAUGACGGUACCCGGAGAAGAAGCCCCGGCUAACUUCGUGCCAGCCGCCGCCGUAA
rnacentral:rRNA from 1 species